UAUUAAAAGGAUUAAAAAUAAUUCUGAUGUAUUAUUUCAAAUAAUAGAGUACCAUAUAUAUACAUACAAGGAUCCUAUAAUNCUUCAUCUAUUAAAGGAAAAACAUGUGCACAAAUCUGCACAAAUUAUAAUAAUAUCUAAAAUAUAACUAACAUAAUGUUUGAUUGCCUAAUAUCCUUUAAUAGAAUAUUUGACAUAUCUUAACACCCCCACUCAAGUUGGUGCAUGGAUAUCACACAUUCCCAACUUGAAUAGAGACUCAUCAAAAAAUCUUC
rnacentral:lncRNA from 1 species